GGGCACAGCCGCGGGGUGGACCUACCCUGCGGGCAGAGUGACCGUGGUUGGCUACCGCCGGAGGCCCUACGGCCGUAGAACGGCGGUCGCUGAGCGGGCGGGGAGCCCCACAGGCAGAGCGGCGCGAGUUGCGCGCCAAAUUCUCACCUCACAGGAGGCUCUACCAGGCUGCGCGGGAAGCGUUUUUGCCCUUGAAGGGAUUGGUGUGCCUCAGGGUCUUAGCGUUUCACACGCUUGAGAGAGGCCUACACAGCCUGAGGGCCAUAUAUAAACGAACAUAAAACCUGCUGCUGUUGUAAAGCAGCCUGUGCCUCAUCCACAGCGCUCAUAUGACUAAAGAAAUUCUCUUGAAAUUCAUUAGAUUUCUAAAAAAGAACAAUAAAAGACUUAAUACAGCUUGAUAGUACAGCUUUUCACAAACACAUCAGCAGUGCUAGCAGCUACCCAAGGCAGAAAAUGUGAAGUAAAGGUCUUCUACGUGAUACCUCCAGAGUCUCAGCAAAACUAGAAGGAGCCUCACUCUAUAUCUAUCUACUCUCACAAAAAAUAGGACCAGAAAUAAGACUGUAUCCAGCUCGGAAGCAGGGAGAGCAAGCUUUAAGAAGUCCUGAGCUUUUUCCCUGGCCCAAGGAGCACAGGCAAAGUGUUUGCACCUGUGCUCCCCACCUGACCGGAAGGGGUGGGCACAGGGUGCAGCCCCCCCUGGGCUCAUAUAAGGGCCAGCCACUGAAGGGAAAGAAUCCCUUGAACCUGGGUUGCUUCUGAAGAAGACUACUAUGUAGCCAGAAAGCCUCUCCUUUACCAGUUAGGAAACUUUUUAACUUUACCUCCUGAGCAUCAAGGAAGCGUCCCUGAGUCCACCAGAGACAGGAGCUGGGCAACUGCACAGCAACG